CCAGUCAAGACGCUUUAAUAGGUGGUGUAGGCACAUGAGCGAAAGAUGAAGACACGCAUUACGUUUAUGUCAGGAAAAAUACAACCCAAAUGGGUUGGCAAUGCUUUUUAUAAAGACGGCGAGUGUGGCUGAGAGUUUGCCCAGGUCACAUGAAGUUUGCAAGAUUCCAUGAGGUUUGUCUCCAGUCUUCUGUGCUGUGGGAAGAAAUAGCUGGAUCGCAAUGAGACUGCAACUCCUGCAAGUGUUCAGCCAAUCGGUACUGCUGCUCGAUGGCAGGGGCAAUUUUAAUUUGUCUACUUGCUGCCAUUGUGGCGACGGAAGUUCUGCUGGGCCACAAGGUGGCUGUUGGGUGUUUACAUCUUUGGAACAAAUGUUGAGUGUUGCUGCUUUGCCCUGCCCAGACUGCGGACGCCAGGAUUACUUGUGUAUGUUGACCGGACUUGGAGUUUCUUCAAGAGCUUCAGUUGUGAAAUGCUUAAAGUAAGCAUUUAGUUGAUUGGACUAGACUUUGCUGUGGACCAAUUUAAGUUGGCUAGACGACAAUCAAGGAAUUUUGUUGGUGAUAUGUGUUCUUGGACACGAUCCUACCAAAGGAGAAGACUUUUUGACAACUGCUGAUAUAAAAAGGAUAUAUAAUUGGAAGUCAAUUGCCACUUAUCAUUCAAUUUGUGCUUGUAGUGUUUGAAUAAAAAAAUAAUGAAUAGGCAUCCUUGUACUGUUUUUGACUGGGGGGUGGGCUUGCUAAUUGUGUAAUGUGAUAUUUAACACUCAACCAUACCUCUUCGUAAGGUUGCCCCUGUAAGAGGUUACUAACCAAAGCUAAAGCAUUCAAUGCAGAAGUUUCACAUGAAUAGUAAAUGCAAUCUAACGUGUUUUUAAUUUAGUCAUAAAGUUUGGUUUAUCAAUUACCAGCAGUAGGACUAAGCCACUGCAAAUAAGAACCA
rnacentral:lncRNA from 1 species